GACGAACGCUGGCGGCGUGCUUAACACAUGCAAGUCGAACGGAAAGGCCCUGCUUUUGUGGGGUGCUCGAGUGGCGAACGGGUGAGUAACACGUGAGUAACCUGCCCUUGACUUUGGGAUAACUUCAGGAAACUGGGGCUAAUCCCGGAUAGGAGCUCCUGCUGCUUGGGGGGGGUUGGAAAUUUUCGGCGGUUGGGGAUGGACUCGCGGCUUAUCAGCUUGUUGGUGGGGUAGUGGCUUACCAAGGCUUUGACGGGUAGCCGGCCUGAGAGGGUGACCGGCCACAUUGGGACUGAGAUACGGCCCAGACUCCUACGGGAGGCAGCAGUGGGGAAUAUUGCACAAUGGGCGGAAGCCUGAUGCAGCAACGCCGCGUGCGGGAUGACGGCCUUCGGGUUGUAAACCGCUUUCGCCUGUGACGAAGCGUGAGUGACGGUAAUGGGUAAAGAAGCACCGGCUAACUACGUG
rnacentral:rRNA from 1 species